rnacentral:pre_miRNA from 1 species
GAUUUCAAGUGAAAAAGUUAUCAAUAACAAAGUUAAAUAACUCAUCAAGAUCUAAAACUUUUAUUUUGGUCGUUUCUUCAUCUGAUAAAAUGUUAGUAACAUUGUUCACAAAUUUUACAUAUAUGUGUUAUAGUUUAUAAAACCAGAUAAGAGAUAUGUCAAUUUUGUGAACAAUGUUACUAUACUUUAUCAAAUGAAAAAAUGACCAAAAUAAAAGUUUUAGAUCUUGAUGAGUUAUUCAACUUUGUUGUUGAUAACUUUUUCAGUUGAAAUC